AACGAACGCUGGCGGCAGGCCUAACACAUGCAAGUCGAGCGCACCCUUCGGGGUUAGCGGCGGACGGGUGAGUAACGCGUGGGAACGUGCCCUUCUCUUCGGAAUAACCUCGGGAAAGUGAGAGUAAUACCGCAUACGCUCUUUGGGGGAAAGAUUUAUCGCAGAAGGAUGGGCCCGCGUUGGAUUAGGUAGUUGGUAGGGUAAUGGCCCACCAAGGCGACGAUCCAUAGCUGGUUUGAGAGGAUGAUCAGCCACACUGGGACUGAGACACGGCCCAGACUCCUACGGGAGGCAGCAGUGGGGAAUCUUAGACAAUGGGGGCAACCCUGAUCCAGCCAUGCCGCGUGAGUGAUGAAGGCCUUAGGGUUGUAAAGCUCUUUCAGCUGGGAAGAUAAUGACGGUACCGGCAGAAGAAGCCCCGGCUAACUCCGUG
rnacentral:rRNA from 1 species